CCUACGGGUGGCAGCAGUGAGGAAUAUUGGUCAAUGGACGAGAGUCUGAACCAGCCAAGUAGCGUGAAGGAUGACUGCCCUAUGGGUUGUAAACUUCUUUUAUAUGGGAAUAAAAUGUUCCACGUGUGGGAUUUUGUAUGUACCAUAUGAAUAAGGAUCGGCUAACUCCGUGCCAGCAGCCGCGGUAAUACGGAGGAUCCGAGCGUUAUCCGGAUUUAUUGGGUUUAAAGGGAGCGUAGGUGGAUUGUUAAGUCAGUUGUGAAAGUUUGCGGCUCAACCGUAAAAUUGCAGUUGAAACUGGCAGUCUUGAGUACAGUAGAGGUGGGCGGAAUUCGUGGUGUAGCGGUGAAAUGCUUAGAUAUCACGAAGAACUCCGAUUGCGAAGGCAGUUCACUAGACUGCAACUGACACUGAGGCUCGAAAGUGUGGGUAUCAAACAGGAUUAGAUACCCGUGUAGUC
rnacentral:rRNA from 1 species